rnacentral:lncRNA from 1 species
AGGUAAAAUUCACACCAACAGGAUGUUCCAACAGAAUAAUAAAGACGGAACCAGGUCCGGCGUAAAGCACACAGACAGGAUAUUCCAACAGAAUAAUAAAAAAUGGAAUACAAAAGAAUUUCACCAAGUAUAGGGUAGCCCGCGUAUACAGGUUAUUCCAACAGAAUAAUAAAGAUGGAAUAAUAGAAGUUCUCUUCAUGAAUACAAAAGAAAUAAUACCCCGUACCGUAAAAGAAAC